rnacentral:lncRNA from 1 species
CAAAAACCAAACAAACCAACCCACUAUGGUAAAUGGGGCAGGGGAAAUUGAGAAGUCAAGAUGAAGACAGAAUUGGACAUAUAUGAAUAUAAACUUUUUUUUUAGCUAGCUGUAAACAGUGUGGUAUGAGGAAAGAUGGGAAGAGAUAUAAAAAUAAACAGCAUUAAGUUAAAGGGGAUAAUUAUAGGAGCCAAAAUGAGAGGUGAGUGUUGCAAAGGAUCCAGCUAACUUUAGAGACUUGAGAAGGUUCUUCAAACAUUUCCUUUCAGGACACUGUGGGGCUUUAAUCUUUCAGGAUUUAACAAGCCCCUGAAUGUAUAUGCCUUAAAUACACACAAACACACAUUUUUGCUUUUUCCUGUUGGGGGAGAAGAGAUAGUAAGAGAUGUGUUCUUCGUUGUCAUUUGGAAAACAGCUUCCGGCUUUCAUUUGGUCUCUUUUUGAAUCAGAAGACCCAGAAAACUUGGAUCCACUUCUGGCUCUGAUCCUUCUUGGCGGCAUGAUUUGGAGAAAGCCAUAACUUUUCUCUGUGCCAUCUUCCUGCUUAGGAAGGGGCUACUAAUAGUACCAAUUUCACAAGGUUAUCUGAAUAAGGUAUGUGAAAAGACUUUGUAGAUUGGGGUGAAGUCUACAAAUGGUAGUUAGGACUAUGCUCAGGCUGAUGCUCAGGCAGGGUGUUGGAGAGAGAGUGGGAGGGAGGAAUGGAAUGAAGAACCAUACUUAAGCCGCCCCCAGGCCUCCUCUGACUGAAACCCUGGUUUACCCCAUGAAAGCAAGGUUAAUAAUACUACCCAAUAAAGCAGGAACACUUAGAAAUUAGUCUGGAACAAGGUUGAAUUUGCCAAGGAGGGUUGGUCCUGACAUCACAUGCUUUAAACCUGUGGUUGGCAGCCAGUUGGUUGCUCUAUUAUUACCUGCUCUGGAGAGGGCAAGUCUAAAUUGGAAUCCUCUUUCCUCGGUUCAGGCUGUUUCUGCUGAGUCCCAUAGUGUUGAUUAUAGUUCUUAAACUCUGUAACUGUCUGUUUCAUUCUUGACUCACCUCCAGACUCAUAAAUAUCCCACAGAAAACACAGAGGGUUUAAAAGUUGCCUAUCUUUUAACCUUGUGCCCUAAUGUAUUCUAUAGAAUUGCCAGGACAUACGGUAUUUUUCCUGCCUUUCCAAUACCUAUUCAGGAGCAAAAACCUUGAUAAA